CCUACGGGAGGCAGCAGUGAGGAAUAUUGGUCAAUGGGCGCGAGCCUGAACCAGCCAAGUCGCGUGAGGGAAGAAGGUCCUAUGGAUUGUAAACCUCUUUUGUCGGGGAGCAAAAGACGCCACGCGUGGCGUUCCGAGAGUACCCGAAGAAAAAGCAUCGGCUAACUCCGUGCCAGCAGCCGCGGUAAUACGGAGGAUGCGAGCGUUCUCCGGAUUUAGUGGGUUUCAAGGGUGCGCAGGCGGAAGAUAAAGUCUGCGGUAAAAUUGGGCUGCUCAACCACUUCGAGCCGUUGAAACUGGGUUUCUUGAGUGAGCGAGAAGUAUGCGGAAUUCGUUGUGUAGCGGUGAAAUGCCUAGAUAUCACGCAGACCUCCGCUUGCGUAGGCAGCAUACCGGCGCUCAACUGACGCUCAUGCACGAAAGUGUGGGUAUCGAACAGGAUUAGAUACCCCUGUAGUC
rnacentral:rRNA from 1 species